rnacentral:rRNA from 1 species
UGAGGAAUUUUGCGCAAUGGGAGCAAUCCUGACGCAGCAACGCCGCGUGGGUGAAGAAGGCCUUCGGGUCGUAAAGCCCUGUCAGGUGGGAAGAAAUGGUCGAGGUCGAACAGGCCUUGAUUUUGACGGUACCACCAGAGGAAGCACCGGCUAACUCCGUGCCAGCAGCCGCGGUAAUACGGAGGGUGCAAGCGUUAUUCGGAAUUACUGGGCGUAAAGCGCGUGCAGGCGGGAAGGUAAGUCUGAUGUGAAAGCCCCGGGCUUAACCCGGGAAGUGCAUUGGAAACUGCUUUUCUUGAGUACUGGAGAGGAAGGGAGAAUUCCCGGUGUAGAGGUGAAAUUCGUAGAGAUCGGGAGGAACACCAGUGGCGAAGGCGCCCUUCUGGACAGUUACUGACGCUGAGACGCGAAAGCGUGGGGAGCAAACA